rnacentral:rRNA from 1 species
AGUGAACGCUGGCGGUAGGCCUAACACAUACAAGUCGAACGGUAGCACAGUAAGAGCUUGCUCUUACGGGUGGCGAGUGGCGGACGGGUGAGGAAUACAUCGGAAUCUACUUUUUCGUGGGGGAUAACGUAGGGAAACUUACGCUAAUACCGCAUACGACCUACGGGUGAAAGCAGGGGAUCUUCGGACCUUGCGCGAUUGAAUGAGCCGAUGUCGGAUUAGCUAGUUGGCGGGGUAAAGGCCCACCAAGGCGACGAUCCGUAGCUGGUCUGAGAGGAUGAUCAGCCACACUGGAACUGAGACACGGUCCAGACUCCUACGGGAGGCAGCAGUGGGGAAUAUUGGACAAUGGGCGCAAGCCUGAUCCAGCCAUACCGCGUGGGUGAAGAAGGCCUUCGGGUUGUAAAGCCCUUUUGUUGGGAAAGAAAAGCAGCAGGUUAAUACCCCGCUGUUCUGACGGUACCCAAAGAAUAAGCACCGGCUAACUUCGUG